UCCAAACACUCAGUCACACACACACACACACACACAGAGGGAACUCAGGGGUUAUAGUCACCGCUGCAGAACCCCGGCUCCUGCCUCCUCUCAUCUUUUCCCCCUUUUUUCCUUACGCCCCCUUUCUCUUCUCUGAGGCAGAUAAAGACGGCGUUCCUGGUCUGUAUCGGAUCCACACUAUGGGUGAUUUGAUCACUUUGUCAGCCCUGAUCCAGACUGACUGGACAGUGUCCAGCCAGCGGCUCCAACUCUCAGGAUCUGAAACCCGUAGCAGUAAAACUAAAAAAAAAGACCACCUGGUUAUGAUUGGAGUGUGCAAUUCCUUUAUGUCCUACUUUGACGAACUGCGGCGACAUGAAAGGUUACAAAUUCCAGCUGAAAACUGCCUUCCGUUGCGCGACCGACUUUUAUCCGGAGCCGGUGUUACACACAGGGACCACCCACACACUCGGCUCACACAGGAUGUUGAAGAGUCAGUUUGACUGCAUUUUUUGUGCAUGUAUGUUGUUGUUGGUAAAUUUACAGUGCCGUCCAAUCCCACGCGCUGGAGUUCCGGACUGCCUGUUACAGGCAUUCGAUGCAGAGCGGCGCCAGUGUUGAACUGAUGCGAACAGCUACAAUGUUACUUGUUAUCGUGCAUCCACUUUGAUAUGCGGGGAACUUCGCCGAGGCUUCAAACUUCGACGAUUUGUCCCUCGGGUGCAACUUUUUGGGAAAUCGGAAGGGGGGAAAAAUCCCUGGUUCGACAGAUGUCUUAUUUUGGAAGUACUACUUUCUACAUAAUACAUUUUUAAUGUCGCGGUAAAAAAAAGAUUUUGAUCAAUUUUUGAUGCGUCACGACUGUCUUUAUGCUGCGA